ACCCGGGGAUGGGCGUCAGACGUGAUGCAUGGUGUAAUAAGUACUUGGUUCCAUCCCGGCAGUACAGAGAAACAGAAUGGCUUCUCUGGAAAGAAAUCGCAGUAAUUGUUGUCAUUUAUAAGAGCUAACGCUUACAAAGUGGACUGUAAUUCUUGCCCUGCACAGAGAGUUAGAAACAGAAUCAUUAGAAUACUGUCUCCCAGACUUACUGACUCUGUAAAGGUACUUAAUGCCUCUUGAGUUUCUUCAUCUUCAAAAAGGAGACACCCUCCCUGCCUCCCAAGGUUGCUGUGAGCAGCAGACAAAUGAUGGAAAACAACAGGCACACAGUCUCCAUGAUUAGUGGAGGCAGUGGGCUUCCUGGCUUGUAUCCCAGCCCCGGCGGCCUGUGACUGAUGUAGGGCGGACAGAACCUAAGGAUAGGAAAAGAGAAAUGGAUAUGUGUUGAGCAGCUAUUCUUGCCAGGCAGUCUACCUAGCUGCUUCACCCACCCUGACCAUUCAUUUCAUCAGUCAACAAACAUCCGCUGAGCUGCUUCCACAUGCCAGGCACUUGGGAUGCAAAGGCACAGCAGGAGAGAAGAAUGCCACCAUGCCCUGUCUGCCAUCUACUGCACAUAAUGGGAUGUUGCUCCAGGACCUUGCUUCAGACAUGCCAUGUGUGUAUCUUUUUCCAGGAACUCCCUGCUCAUAUCUUUUACUAUCUGCUGCUGCUGCUGCUGCUAAGUCGCUUUAGUCGUGUCUGACUC
ensembl:lncRNA